rnacentral:rRNA from 1 species
UCAGGUGCCUAUAUCGGCGGUGUCCACCUCUUCCCAUUCCGAACAGAGAAGUUAAGCCCGCCAGAGCCGAUGGUACUGCAGUAAAAUGUGGGAGAGUAGGUCGGUGCCAAAUUUU